rnacentral:lncRNA from 1 species
ACCGAAUCCAUCAAUUUCAAAUUAUCUCCCAAAUUUCCAUAAGAUCAAAUCAAAAUAGAAGAAACUCAUUUGGUCUUUACCGAAUCCAUCAAUUUCAAAUUAUCUCCCAAAUUUCCAUAAGAUCAAAUCAAAAUAGAAGAAACUCAUUUGGUCUUUACAUAUUGUGUAGUUACAAUUUGAACUUCCUAGGUGAGAUCCAAAACUCAAUUCCAAACUAAAGGCGAGCAUAUAAAUUCAGAAGAAAAAAUCAUGGGAGGGACAUCCAUAUGCACGUACACACAAUUACACUGUAAAAAACCUCCCGACAUAUCUCAUCUCCAUAUUUUUUACCAGCAAAAUCCAUAACAAAACCUGUAAAUUCACAACCAAACUCACUGUCAACACAAAACCAUAGCAACAACAUCACUUUAUCACAUCCAACAACAAAAACAGAGUAGAACCAAAGUCGAAGCUAACCAAUUCAGAACCAAUACACCCAGUUGAAAACCGAAAUAACACUGAGUCGAAACCGCUACCAAACCAAUAUUAAACCUAUUCAAAACGGCACCUAUAGGAAACCAAAAGAUACCUCUGAAUUUUUUUCAAAAACACAAACCUAACUCAAAAUGAAAUCCACAGAACAACACUGAGUUGAGUCAAAAACCCAACAUCAACAACAUAAAGAACCUGCAAAAACAAUUACAUCACCAUUUCACUCAAAUGGAAACAAAACCAAAACAUAUCACAACAUCAACCAAAACAUUCACAAUCAUCACAGACCUACUAGCCUACAUAACAACAACAAAUUCGAUUCGAAUAUAACAACAACACCGAUAGUAAGCUAAGAUCAAAGACAGAAAAAUUGGGAAUAACAAACCGAAACCGCGCCGGAAUCAUACGUGAACCGCCGCUCGGACCACCACAUCACCCCUCAGCCGCGUCAACCGCGAGCUCCUCUCCUCUGUUGCCGGAAGACGACGAACACCACCGCAAGGAACCACGCCUCCCCACGAAUCCACGUGUCCAUCCCGGCGUCUGCACCCCUCCAUCUCCAAUCCGAUCGCGAUAACCACUGCACCGACUUUUUUGUUUUCCCCUUUGUCUCAAUGAUGUCUUUUGUUCAUGUUUGCAGGAUGCUUCUUGUUGAGUGAGGGACUUGAUUUGGGUUUGAAGAAAGAAAAAAGUUUGAGAGAAGAUUAAUUUUUUGCUGUUAUAAAGAAAGAAAUGGAAAAACGAUAGGGGGAGAACGAGAUACUUGCUGGGUAUUUGGUUUCUUUUUUUAUAUCCAAGCUCAUUUGCCACGUGUCGCAAGGUUGUUGGCCUUUUCUGCCAACACAUGGGGCGCCCCUCCCCCUUAAUUUUCAGCAGGUUCCCUUUGUUUUUACACAUUUUUUUUAUUUCAUUUAUUUUUAAUUUAAAAUUAGGGUUAUUCACGGGCUUUAAAGCCAUUAGGUUUUAUUAGAUUUCAUUAGGACCCCGCAUCGAACUGAUGCACCCUUCUUUAACUCUUCCCGUAUGUUUGUUUUAGAAUCUUAUUCUUAAUAUUAUUUAGAAUAAUAUUUAUAUGCGAGUGUUUGGUAAAAACUAAAUUUUCUAUGAAUUUUUAUAAUAUUUAUUGAAUUUAAAAAUUAUAAAAAAUAAAAUAAAUAAAUAAAUAUGAGUAGUAGUGGAGAGUUGUAGUUAGUUGAAUUUUAUUCCCAUGGGAAUGAUGGAUUCCCACCCUUUAAACUUUUGAAUAAAAAUAAAAGAACCAUAUAUAAAUAAAGUUCAUGGGAAUAAAAUAUAUCAUGGAAUAAUUUUUUAAAAAUUGAAUCAAACAUGGGAAUGUUGCAUUCCCAUGACAAUAUUCCCAGGAAUAUUUUUUAAAACCUUGAAACAAACACACCCUUAAUC